UACGGAGGGUGCGAGCGUUGUCCGGAAUCAUUGGGCGUAAAGGGCGCGUAGGUGGCUUCUCAAGCGUUCGGUGAAAGCCUGGGGCUCAACCCCGGGUCGGCCGUGCGAACUGGGGGGCUUGAGCACUGUAGAGGCAGGCGGAAUUCCGGGUGUAGCGGUGGAAUGCGUAGAGAUCCGGAAGAACACCGGUGGCGAAGGCGGCCUGCUGGGCAGUUUAGCUGACACUGAGGCGCGACAGCGUGGGGAGCAAACAGG
rnacentral:rRNA from 1 species